rnacentral:rRNA from 1 species
CGGAGGUGCAAGCGUUAUCCGGAUUCACUGGGUUUAAAGGGUGCGUAGGUGGGCAAGUAAGUCAGUGGUGAAAUCUCCGGGCUUAACCCGGAAACUGCCAUUGAUACUAUUUGUCUUGAAUACUGUGGAGGUCAGCGGAAUAUGUCAUGUAGCGGUGAAAUGCUUAGAUAUGACAUAGAACACCAAUUGCGAAGGCAGCUGGCUACACAAAUAUUGACACUGAGGCACGAAAGCGUGGGGAUCAAACAGGAUUAGAUACCCUGGUAGUCCACGCCCUAAACUAUGGAUACUCGACAUUUGCGAUAAACUGCAAGUGUCUGAGCGAAAGCAUUAAGUAUCCCACCUGGGAAGUACGAUCGCAAGAUUG